rnacentral:rRNA from 1 species
AUGUUGCGUCUUUUAAAGCAACAUUUGGAGCGAGUCAAUUCCAGAAUGAAGCACCAGGCCGAUAAGAAACGAUCUGACCGAGUUUUUGCAGUGGGAGACUCAGUAUUCCUCAAGCUACAGCCAUACAUACAAUCUUCUGUUGCCCCUCGUGCGCAUGACAAGCUGCUGUUCAAAUAUUAUGGACCAUAUCGGAUCCUUGAGAAAGUUGGCGCAUCAGCUUAUCGUUUGGCACUCCCACAAGGCAGCCGCAUCCACCCUGUUCUUCAUGUUUCCCAACUGAAACUUGCUCUGGGACCA